rnacentral:lncRNA from 1 species
GUAACACUCACCGCGAGGGUCCGCGGCUUCAUUCUUGAAGUCAGUGAGACCAAGAACCCACCAAUUCCGGACACAGAAUUUCAUGGAGCCUGGAGCCCAGGAAAAGGGUGAAUCCAAUGCAGGCUGAUUUCUGGCUUACAUCACAGUCCAGUCUGAUUUUCUGCAGAUUACUUUCUACAAGACGAUUUGGGACCUCAGUUUACCACCUCCCAGCGGACCGACGGGUGCGGUGAGUGGAGAUGAUUUUGUGAGAGUUUUUAGGACAAUCCUGGAAGUGGGUUUGUCACUUCUGGCUGCACUCCAUUGGCCUGAAAGGAAUCACACGGCCCCACCCCAAUGCGGGAGGCUGGGAGUGUUCAGCGCCUGCAGAGAAGGUCAGGUGGGCUGGAAGCCCUGCGCCAGGCAUGGCCACGCCCUGGUGAAGGUGCUCGACAAAUGUGAACAUCUCCACCUAAGCCCCCCUUGGCACCACCACUGAGUCAGUCUGUGUUUUGGAUGUUUAAUUUUGGGGUUCAAUUUGCUGAUGGUGAAUUUGACAAUGAUGUUAUUGAUUAAUUCAUUUAAAGGGAGGAGAAUCACAAAUAUUGUGGCUAGUACAGAACAACCUCUUCCACCAAGCCAGUUGUGACUGUUGCGGAUGGAGAUGGACACCUAGUGAAUGAUUUAAUCCACCAACAAUUGUGGCACACAGGCAUCGUCUUCCCCACGCCAGGACUCAGAGGCUGAGCCCAGGGUGCUGAGAGGCUGAGCCCACAGCUCCGGGGUGAGGAAUGGAGCUCCCCGAGCGCGGCUUAUCUUUCAAGGGAGCUCACACUCUUUUACAACAACCCUCGAGGUGAGGGCUCCUUCAGACUCUCCCAACUCCACCCAUGGCCACAGCCUCCGGGGCAGGGCUCCUGUUCCUACCCACCCCUCAAGCUCCUUCUCAUCCACAUGCCCAGGCUAACGUUAGCCACACUGGCAGCGGGGGAACUGACCCUGAGCAGCAGGCGCUGGCCCCUGCUCCAAGCCCUGCUUUCCGAGUGAACUCUUGUACCAGCUGGAAUUGUCUCCGGGUGCUUCCUCCGUCAGACCACGGUCAAGUGCAGGUCCAGUGUUUUGGGUCAGAUGUCAGUGGGCAGGCUCAGCAUUCAUCCAAAGAAAUAGCAGCUUCGUAAUUGGUUACUUGUAGGGGUAAUUAGCUAUCUGCAUAAAUUAACUGAUUCCUCCUCAUAGUAUGUCCCCUAUAGACAGUGAGGGUUCAAUUUGCUGUUGGUGAAUUUGCUAAUGUGACUUAUUGAUUAAUCUUUUUAAAGUGGGGUGGUUCCCAACACUUGAGGCCACCUGAGCCCAUGGAGAGGGUGGAAACUGACCCACAAAGCUGCCAGCUGCUGGGGAACACGGGUCAGCCCAGUGAGGCAACUCUCUGGCCACAUUGCCCACCGCCUGCCCUUCACUCCCACCAAGCAUGGCUCCCUCAGAGUCCCAUGGCUGCUCUGCUGCCCAAGGAAACUGUUCCUCUGGGCGUUCUCAAAGGCCUGAAUGGAUGAGUGCCAUGUCCAGUGCUAUGAGUCUCCUGAUGGUAGAUGGACACUGUGUCCCAUGUCCAAUGGUGGGGACUGUGCCAUGCCCUGUGUCCAGUGAUGCUGGAUGGGCCAUGCCCAGUGUCCAGUGAUUAUGGACAGGCACCGUGCCAAGUGUGCUAUGAUUAUCGAUGGGUGCCAUGUCCAAUGUCUAAUGAUGAUGGACAGUUUGCAAUAGUUUCAAAGUAACCCCUUCCACAGACACAAAUUGUUCAUUAGUUAUAAAUAGAACAACAGUAACUUUACAGUGGAAAAAGCUGGCGGACAUCAUUUUAGCCACAUAAUCAAAGUUAACGUCAACAGUAAGGAGAAAAUCAACACCACGUGUCUUCUGACAACAACGCGCUGAUGGGAGCCCAACAUCAUUUACACCAUAAAUCAAAUGUUUAUCCGUUGGCGAUUCCAGCCAAAAAUAGAUAACCUGAUCCAAUCAUGAGGGAACUUCAGACAAACCCAAACUGAAGGACAUUCUACAGAAUAACUGGUCUGUACUCAUAACAAAGAAUCAAUGUCAUGAGGGACCAUGAAAGGCUGAGGAUGUCCCACAGGUUGAAAGUGACGAAAACAAACAAAAAACAACCAGCAACCAACUACGAUGCACAACCUUGGAUUGGAGCCUUCUCAAAAUUGCUGAAAAUAACAGUGGAACAAGUGGUGAAAUUUGAAUAUGGGCUAUAUGUUAGGUAUUCAUUUUAUGUCAAUGUUAAAUUUUCCGACAUUGAUAUUUGUACCAGGAAAUGUAAAAGAAGGCCCAAAUUUAGCGAUAAAUUAUGCCUGCCACUCACUCUCUCCAAUGAUUCAGAAGAUAGUACGGAUGAUGAACAGAUGACAGAGACAUGGUAGGUAGAUCAAUAGAUGGAUGGAUAGAUAGAAAAUAUGAAAUAAGAAACUCCUGGACACGAACCGUACAGACCAAGUUCAUCACUCCUGUGAGGGAGAACCUUGAAUUCCCAUAAGAAAAACUGAAUGUGCAGGAAGCGUAUCUCAUUCAGUUCACAAACCAUGAUGGGUUCUGUGUUCACCCUGGCUAACUAUCUACUUCUACCUCUCCUCUCCUCCUCUCCUCUCCUCUCCUCUC